GAUUUUCCAGGUUACAUUACAUUUUGGAAUAUAUUUGGAGGAGGGAAGCUAUUUGCUUAUUUCAUUGGAUCCAAGGACAGGUCUACAAUCCGUGACAUGGCUGUCAGUGAUGAUGACUGCCUCCUGUGUGCAGCUGACCACAUGGGUUACAUCUAUAUUUGGAGCAUCACAAAAUAUGCUCUUCAGGGACCAGAGGAGGAACCACCAGCUUUGCUUCUAAGUUGGAGAGCUCAUAGCUGCAGUGUUACAAG